UACGUAGGGUGCAAGCGUUAAUCGGAAUUACUGGGCGUAAAGCGUGCGCAGGCGGUUUUGUAAGUCUGUCGUGAAAUCCCCGGGCUCAACCUGGGAAUGGCGAUGGAGACUGCAAGGCUAGAAUCUGGCAGAGGGGGGUAGAAUUCCACGUGUAGCAGUGAAAUGCGUAGAGAUGUGGAGGAACACCGAUGGCGAAGGCAGCCCCCUGGGCCAACACUGACGCUCAGGCACGAAAGCGUGGGGAGCAAACAGG
rnacentral:rRNA from 1 species